CCUUGAAACAACCACACCGCCUCUUUCCAGAGCAGCCUGUAUUUCUCCUAAGGUUACCUGUGGGUUUUUCUUUGUAUCCUGAACAAUUUUUUUGGCAGUUGUGGCUGAAAUAUUUCUUGGUCUACCUGACCUUGGCUUGGUAUCAAGAGAUCCCCGAAAUUUCCACUUCUUAAUAAGUGAUUGAACAGUAUUGAUUGUCAUUUUCAAGGCUUUGGAUAUCUUUUUAUAUCCU